CAUUGCUCCAUCAAGCAAGGUUUCACUUAAUUUCUAUUUCUACACAAACACACAUCAAUCUCAUAGAUUCUCUGCAACCGCAUCUAACUUGUCUUUCAACUUCUGUAAUCUACAUAAUCACUUGGCAUCAUGACUCAAUUCAAAUGGAUAAAUUGUCAAAAUAAAAAUAUAUCAAUGAUAUAAAUCUUUUUAUUUGAAUUGGUUAGCUUUGAUUUGAUUUUAGAAAGAUGGAAAGAUUUAUCUCACAGUCCUAUUAACAGGAAUUUAAACUUGGUCACAAACUGUACAUGUGAUUGCAGGUGUGGGAGGCGACAUGUUUUCUCUAAUCAGGAAGUUCAAGCGGUGACAACGCUUUUAUUUAUUUUUUAAUUUAUUCAACGAUGGAUGUACCACAAAUAGGCCCCAUCCAUGAACGGAUAGAUCUUCAGAGGACACAUGAACGUUUAAUUAUGGAAGGUAGGCAUGCCCUUUUUUUACAUGAUAACUUUAAAAGCAUCACUCUUUCCUUUUUUCUAAACUUUACAUUUGUAUUACAGCUGGGCAGUUGGCAGAACCCACCAGCACUGAUGAUAUGAUUAACCUGAGUUACCUAUUGGCUGGGGGAAGCUAUGGUGCAUACCAGUUCAGCAAUACUUGUGUUCUAGACUCCAUUUUGGCUGGAAUUCAUGUUCUUGCCAAAAUGUAUCCCCAAAUUCGAGAUUUGUUCACGAGGGAUAACAAAAUCAAUGCGGUUAUACGUUUCCUAGACUUUGCCAAGGUCAAUGAGGCAAAGGCACUGUGGCUUAUUAACUUGAGCCUUCGUAAGGAAGAAAACCUCAUGCAAAAUGAAUUUGUAGAUAUCAGAGGUUAUGUUAGAGACCACUUGACAAACUUCACUGAGCUGGUAUGUGCCAGCUUCGACUAUGAUGACUCGCAAUCAAGCUCCACACCAUGUGACACAGUUCUCAACAACAUAUUGAGGAAGUUUGAGGAUUACGGUGAUGUAAAACCCUUAGGCACUUCUCGUCAUGAACCCAAACUCAUCCUGGUAGACAUUGAUGACCGGAUGUGUAUCCUACCUCCCCUCUCCAUCACUGAUGAUUAUGAAAGGACAUACGAGCUCCAGUUCCUCCUGAUGGGACAGAGUACACCCCUGUCCAACCACAUGGUCCUGUUCCUGUGCACUCAGCUGACUGGCAGAUGGAUGAUCUAUGACAACAUGAAAACACCCCUGGUCCAGGACAUUGGUGUGAGUGAACUACAGAGAGCUACAGAGAGGGAAAAGUAUGUUUCCUAUCUUGCUGCUUAUGUGAAGAAAGAAGAAUAAUAAGGCUGCUUCGGGACUCAAGGGCAUCCUCUUUAGAUUUUAGCUCUGUAUUUCCGAGAUCCUGUCCCAACUACUAUUGGCAUAAUAAAAAAAAAUCCCCAUAAAAUUCUGUCAAUUUAAGAUAGAGAUGUUUUUUUGCAUUGGAUGUGUCUCAAUCCACCGCAUACACCAAUGUCACUCUUCCGCAUCGGUGGUAAAGGUGACAGAGCUUGAGCGGUGUUUGUCAGAGCAUGAGACAUCCCGAAAAUCGGUAUUUUCACAAAAUCGUCUGUAGUGUCUGAACAGUUUAGCCUAUAAAACUAUUAUAACCCCUCUAUUGAAAGAUGAGACUCUCGCGAACACAAUGGUAUUUGCCGUUUGGGACACGUCUGAAGUCGGUACAGCCGAUCUGCCAACAUCUGUCUGUAGUGUCCGAAUAGUUUGGGGUACACACAAGUACUUCUCUGUGGAAAGGUGACAUGCCUCACAAGACUCCUCUGAAGGUCUCCCGGUACCAGUUGAAAAAAUGACUGGAAGUACACUACCAUUCAAAGUUUGGGGUCACUUAGACAUUUCCAUGUUUUUGAAAGAAAAACACAUUUUUUGUCCAUUAAAAAAACAUCUUAUUGAUCAGAAAUACAGUAUAGACAUUGUUAAUGUUGUAAAUGACUAUUGUAGCUGGAAACGGCAGAUUUUGUUAUGGAAUAUCUACAUAGGUGUACAGAGGCCCAUUAUCAGCAACCAUCACUCCUGUGUUCCAAUGGCGUGUUGUGUUAACUAAUCCAAGUUUAUCAUUUGAAAAGGCUAAUUGAUCAUUAGAAAACCCUUUUGCAAUUAUGUUAGCACAGCUGAAAACUGUUGUUCUGAUUAAAGAAGCAAUAAAACUGGCAUUCUUUAGACUAGUUCAGUAUCUUGAGCAUCAGCAUUUGUGGGUUCGAUUACAGGCUCAAAAUGGCCAGAAACAAAGUACUUUCUUCUGAAAUUAAUCAGUCUAUUCUUGUUCGGAGAAAUUAAGGCUAUUCCAUGCAAGAAAUUGCCAGGAAACUGAAGAUCUCGUACAACGCUGUGUACUACUCGCUUCACAGAACAGUGCAACCUGGCUCUAACCAGAAUAGAAAGAGUAGGAUGCCCCGGUGCACAACUGAGCAAGAGGACAAGUACAUUAGAGUGUCUAGUUUGAGAAACAGAAGCCUCACAAGUCCUCAACUGGCAGCUUCAUUAAAUAGUACCUGCAAAACACCAGUCUCAACGUCAACAGUGAAGAGGCAACUCCGGAAUGCUGGCCUUCUAGGCAGAAUUGCAAAGUAAAAGCCAUAUCUCAGACUGGUCAAUAAAAAGAAAAGAUUAAGAUGGGCAAAAGAACACAGACACUAGACAGAAGAACUCUGCCUAGAAGGCCAGCAUCCCAGAGUUGGCUCUUCGCUGUUGACGUUGGGACUGGUGUUUUGGAACACCGGAGUGAUGGUUGCUGAUUAUGAGCCUCUGUAUGCCUAUGUAGAUAUUCCAUUAAAAAUCAGCCGUUUCCAGCUACAAUACUAAUUUACAACAUUAACAAUGUCUACACUGUAUUUCUGAUUAAUUUGAUGUUAUUUUAAUGGACUUUUUUUUAUUUUCUUUCGAAAAACAAGGACAUUUCUAAGUGAACCCAAACUUUUGAAUGGUAGUGUACAUAUGGAUACUGUUUAGUGCCAAAAAUAAGGGGUUAAAUACGGAAAAAAUGUCAAUGUAAAAAAAUUAUAAUUACGUAUAUAAAAAAAGAUUAAUGUUUCGUGAUCUAUCUUAUAUCUCGCCGACAGACAUUUCAGAACAAACUUCCUUUUAAUUUUUUUUGGAGGGACUAUCUGUUGUUCCAUGCAUUGAAUCUGUUACUCAAUGCGUUUGAAUGGGCUAAUAGCAGUAAGGCUCAAACUUGUUUUGUAUCAAAAAUAUUUUUACAAUAUUUUGGGGGGAUACUUCAAGGGGUCUUAAUUCUAGAUCAAAUAGCUAAAUGAUCGUUGGUAUGACCUUCUUAAAACAAUUCCAUGUAGCUUAGUAGAACCUCCGCCCCCAUGACAGUAUGUCACUUUGGAUAAAAGCAUCUGCUAAAUGGAGUUUAACUUAUUUUUGUGUUAUUUUUACAAUGUUACUUAAUGUAAUAAGCUCUUCAGACUGCUCUUUUUUUAUGUUGACAGCAGUUAUAGCCAGGAAUCACAUACAAGAUUGACUAAUGUUUAGUGUUGUCACAGAGAGAGGUCUAAGAAUGCAUUGCUAUGGAACCUUUUAUUCCUGCAACUAUGAACAUUCAUUUUACAAUAAUUUUGGUCCUGUCGCACAGACGAGCUACUAUAACAGGAAGAAACUCAGUAAUUGACACUCUAGAUGUUUUUAAAUGUUUGUUCUGUUUGAAUAAGCUUAGCUAUCACUAACAAGCAGUAGCUCGUUUCAUAUGGCCAGUAUUAAUAUGUUUACCCUUUAUUACUGAUAGUUUCUUUGCCAGUUCGUUUGAUGUUUCCUUGAUAUAUUCUAUACUACAGUAUAUGGUCACACUGUACAGAGCUGUGAAUAAGUAUGUGAGCCCCUGCACUGUUUUCACAUUUUAU
ensembl:lncRNA uncharacterized LOC115174744